rnacentral:tRNA from 1 species
CCGCCCGUGGCACAACUGGUUUGGGCACCUGCACCGCACGCCGGCGACCCGGGUUCGAUUCCCGCCUUGUGGU